rnacentral:misc_RNA from 1 species
UCCGGCUUACACCGGCGGUCUCUCGUGAGUGCCCACCUUUACGUGCUGGUAACACAAGACGAGGGUUGCGCUCGUUGGCGGACUUAACCGUACACCUCACGGCACGAGCUGACGACAGCCAUGCAACAUCUGUCUUCAGGUCCCCUUGUGGGGGAGGGCCCUAUCUCUAGGGCUUUCCUUCGAUGUCAAGAGUGGGUAAGGUUCUUCGGUUAGUAUCGAAUUAAUCCACAUGCUCCACCGCUUGUGCGGGUCCCCGUCAAUUCAUUUGAGUUUCAACCUUGCGGCCGUAGUCCCCAGGCGGGAUACUUAAUGCGUUAGCUGCGGCACCGGGGGGGUCGAUACCCCCGACGCCUAGUAUCCAUCGUUUAGGGCGUGGACUAC